AUUGAACGCUGGCGGCAGGCUUUACAUAUGCAAGUCGAGCGGAGUGAUGGUGCUUGCACUAUCACUUAGCGGCGGACGGGUGAGUAAUGCUUAGGAAUCUGCCUAUUUGUGGGGGACAACAUCUCGAAAGGGAUGCUAAUACCGCAUACGUCCUACGGGAGAAAGCAGGGGAUCACUUGUGACCUUGCGCUAAUAGAUGAGCCUAAGUCGGAUUAGCUAGUUGGUGGGGUAAAGGCCUACCAAGGCGACGAUCUGUAGCGGGGCGGAGAGGAUGAUCCGGCGCACUGGGACUGCGACACGGCCCAGACUCCUACGGGAGGCAGCAGUGGGGAAUAUUGGACAAUGGGGGGAACCCUGAUCCAGGCAUGCCGCGUGUGUGAAGAAGGGCUUAUGGUUGUACAGCACUUUAAGCGAGGAGGAGGCUCUUUUGGUUAAUACCCAAGAUGAGUGGACGUUACUCGCAGAAUAAGCACCGGCUAACUCUGUGCCAGCCGCCGCCGUAA
rnacentral:rRNA from 1 species